rnacentral:lncRNA from 1 species
GAGAAUGGUUUUGACAAUGGCGGCCACGGUGUUGAGAGUGCUUGACAAACUUGUCGCAUGGUUGGUCGAGAUUGGGGAUUAGCAUGCAAGCAUGCAAGUGCUAACUUCACUGCAACCACUACUUCCUCAGCCACUUGAUUCAUAGGAGGUGAGAGACGUUGGUCUAUCUCUUCAUUCAACAGUAAAUGAUAAACAGUUGAUGGUGAUGAGGAUGACGAGGACGCUGAUGAAAAGAGCGAUGAGAUGAGUUCCCCAGGAUGCUUUCCAAAAAUUGUUUCCAAUGUUACCACUCCAAAGCUAUAAACAUCUGUUUUAUUGUCCACCUUUGGGCCAUAAGCAAGUUCUGCAAUUAAGGAAUAUUUGAUCAUGCUUUUGUCUGCUAAAUUAUUAUAGAAGUUUUAAUUUUAAUUUUUUUUUUAUCUUAUGUUGUGUUAUUAACUCUACCAUGCAUCACCAUAAGCUUAUAGCCCAACAAAAAUAGGUAAUAUUUAACAUUAUACUCCAAACAAAUAAGUAAUGUAGAAAGCAAUUAGCAUGUUAAUCCUAAUUUCUUAGCAAAAGAACAGAAUGAUAAACUAGUAUGGUUUCAACAAAAAUUUGAGGUAUUAAAGAUUGAGUAUACCGUUCCAUCCCGAUGCAAUAAAUAACACAUUAAUAAACAUGUAUGGAUGCAGUACUUUAGAGAUAAGCAAGUCACCAACAAAAAUCACCUGGAGCAAUAUAACCAAAAGUUCCUGCAAAUGAAGUCCAAUUAGAUGAGUCUGACUUCAGAAGUCGAGCUGUGCCGAAGUCGGAUACAUGAGCUACAUAUUCUGAAUCUAACAGAACAUUGUUGCUCGAUAUGUCUCGGUGAAUUAAAGGAGGGGAGCAAUCAUGGUGCAUAUAAGAUAAAGCUUCAGCCAUGCCUUUGACAACAUUUAGCCUCAAAACCCAAUCAAACUCUAUUGCUUCGUCCUUGUUGCUUAGAAUGUUUCUCAAACUUCCCUUUUCCAUGAACUCAUAAACCAAAAAUGAGUUUUCUGAACAUGAACAAAAGCCAUAAAGCUUGACAAUGUUGCGAUGUCGUAUCUCUGCUAAAGCAUGAAUCUCACUUUUGAAAGCUUUCAGAUCAGCCAUCUCUCCAUCUUGUGUUGAGUGAAGUUUUUUCACAGCAACAACUCGACCUGUAGGCAACUCGGCCUUGUAAACAGUUCCAUAUCCUCCGGUGCCAAUACAAUUUUUUGAGUUAAAAUCUUCAGUCCCCUCAAUGAUGUGUUCAUAUAACAUUUCCCCAUCAUGGCCCCAUAUUGCGAAUAGAUCUUGAUGAGUUGCUACUUCUCUAGAAUUGAUUUUUCUACUCCUUACCAUUCGACGAAGAAAAUAAAUUCCAUAAGAAAUAAAUGAAAGCAAUGGAAUGCUCAAAAUAAGGAGUAUAAUCAAAAGAAAAAAUUUGUUCCCCUUCUUUUUGCCGGUGUUGCAUGCCUCGAGACCAGUGAUGUUACCACACAAACCUUUGUUAUUUCUUAAUGCCUCAAAUGGGGCAUCUCGAAAUGCUUUGAGGUUGGGUAGCGGACCUUCCAACUGAUUGUAGGAUAUAUUUAUGGAUGUCAGGCCUCGCAAAUCAUCAAAAGUGGGUGGGAUGGUACCUGAGAGGUUGUUAUGGGAGAGAUUCAAUGUUUCCAAGCUUUGUAAUUCUCCAAGUUGUUGUGGUAUCUCUCCUGUCAACAUAUUUUGGCAAAGGUCAAGACUCUCAAGAGUGAUCACAUUCCCAAUCUCAGCCGGAAUGCUUUCCCCAAACUUAUUAUUGCUCAAAUUCAAGGACAACAAUUUCCGAAAGUUUCGGACUUGUUGGGGAAUUGGGCCACUUAAAUGGUUUGAUGCCAAGUUAAGAUGUACGAGAUCGGACAAAUUUCCAAAUUCCAAAGGAAUGUUGCCUGAAAGUUUGUUGUUGUCUAUCACCAAAUUGAACAGUGACUUCAACAUACCCAAUUCUUUUGGUAUCUCCCCAACAAGAUGAUUUGAAGAGAGGUCAAGUUGUUCUAGUUUGGUUGCCUCCCCAAGUUGAUGUGGUAUCAUACCAGAAAUAUUGUUAUUGGAGAUUUUUAGGCUUGUCAGACUAUUGCACUGCCCCCAUUUAUGUGAAAGCUCACCAUACAAUUUGUUGUAACUCAGGUCAAUAAAAAGUAAAUUCGGGUAUAUACCGAAAUCUUCUGUUAUAUUUCCUGCAAGUUGGUUUCUUUCUAGCCUAACUCUGAAUAAGCUAGUGCAGUUUCUCAAGCUCUUUGGGAUAGAUCCAGUGAGAUGGUUUCCUUCAGCUGUAAAAUUUUCAAGUACUCCACCAAGACAUAUCUCAUGCGGUAGUUGGCCAGUCAAAUGAUUCUCAGAUAACUCUAAAGAUCUCAAACGUGUAAGGUGUCUCAUUUCAGGAGGAAUUGAGCCAUUGAUUUUGUUAUCAGAAAGAUACAAUACAGUUAAAUUACCCAAGUUCCCUAUGGAAGCAGGGAUUGAACCAGUGAUCUUGUUAUCAGACAAGUCAAGUUUAUCAAGGGAUUUCAACCAUCCAACUUCCUGAGGUAUGGAACCAGAAAGCUGAUUUUUGGAAAUGUGCAAAGUAGUUAAGUUGACCAAGUUUCCUAUGGAAGUAGGGAUUGAACCAGUGAGUUUGUUAUUUGACGAAUCAAGAGCAAAAAGAGACCUCAAAAAUCCAACUUCUCGAGGAAUGGAACCAAAAAGUUGAUUAGAAUGAAGAUCUAAAGUAUCUAACUUGGACAAGUUUCCUAUUGAGUAAGGAAUUGAACCUGAAAGACUGUUAUUUCGGAGGUAUAAGGCAGUUAAGCUGCCUAAUUUUCCUAAAGAAUGAGGAAUGAUGCCAGAGAGAUUGUUAUUUGACAAGGCUAGAACACUGAGGGAACUUAGCAAAUGAAUAUCUUGUGGGAUGGAACCAUUAAGCUUAUUGGAAUGAACAAACAAAGUGACUAAGUUGCUCAAGUUUCCAAUGGAAGUCGGAAUCGAACCAAUGAGAUUGUUAUUUGAUAAAUCAAGAUCUUUAAGGGAUCUCAACAAUCCAAUCUCUGAUGGAAUGAAACCAGAAAGUUUAUUACCCUGAAGGAACAAACUGAUUAAGUUGCUCAGGUUUCCAAUCUAAUGGGGGAUCGGACCACUCAAAAUGUGAUUUGACAACUCAAGAUUAUUAAGAGUGCUCAACAAUUCAAUCUCUUGUGGAAUGGAACCAAAUAGUUUAUUAUGAGAAAGAUACAAAUACAUUAAAUUGACCAAGUUUCCUAUGGAAGUAGGGGUCGAACCCGUCAAAUUGUUAUCAGACAAGUCAAGUUCAAUAAGAGAUCUCAACAAUCCAAUUUCUUGAGGGAUGGGACCAGAAAGUUCAUUAUUAUAAAGGUACAAAUUGGUUAAAUUCCUCAAGUUUCCUAUGGAAGGCGGGAUGGGACCACUGAGAUUGUUAGUUGACAAGGCAAGAUUAUUAAGAGAUCUCAACAAUCCAAUUUCUUGAGGGAUAGAACUAGAAAGCUCAUUCCUAUGAAGGUACAAAGUGGUUAAAUUCCUCAAGUUUCCUAUGGAAGGCGGGAUGGGACCACUAAGAUUGUUAGUUGACAACUCAAGAUCAUUAAGAGAUCUCAACAAUCCAAUUUCUUGAGGGAUCAAACCAAAAAGCUCAUUCUGAUAAAGGUACAAAGUGGUUAAAUUCCUCAAGUUUCCUAUGGAAGGCAGGAUGGGACCACUGAGAUUGUUAGUUGACAAUGCAAGAUAAUUAAGAGAUAUCAACAAUCCAAUUUCUUGAGGGAUGGAACCAGAAAGCUCAUUCUGAUAAAGGUACAAAGUGGUUAAAUUCCUCAAGUUUUCUAUGGAAGGCGGGAUGGGACCACUGAGAUUGUUAGUUGACAACUGAAGAUCAUUAAGAGAUCUCAACAAUCCAAUUUCUUGAGGGAUCGAACCAGAAAGCUCAUUCCUAUGAAGGUACAAAGUGGUUAAAUUCCUCAAGUUUCCUAUGGAAGGCGGGAUGGGACCACUAAGAUUGUUAGUUGACAACUCAAGAUCAUUAAGAGAUCUCAACAAUCCAAUUUCUUGAGGGAUCAAACCAGAAAGCUCAUUCUGAUAAAGGUACAAAGUGGUUAAAUUCCUCAAGUUUCCUAUGGAAGGCAGGAUGGGACCACUGAGAUUGUUAGUUGACAAUGCAAGAUAAUUAAGAGAUAUCAACAAUCCAAUUUCUUGAGGGAUGGAACCAGAAAACUCAUUCUGAUAAAGGUACAAAGUGGUUAAAUUCCUCAAGUUUUCUAUAGAAGGCGGGAUGGGGCCACUGAGAUUGUUAGUUGACAACUGAAGAUCAUUAAGAGAUCUCAACAAUCCAAUUUCUUGAGGGAUCGAACCAGAAAGCUCAUUCUCAUAAAGAUACAAUGUGGUUAAGUUCCUCAAGUUUCCUAUUGAAUGAGGGAUUGGACCUCUUAGAUGGUUGGUAGCCAAAGCAAGAAAACUAAGAGAUGUUAACAAUCCAACUUGGUGAGGUAUGAUGCCAUUGAAAUUAUUCAAACCCAAAUCAAGGAUGGUGAUCAAUUUGGAAAUAUUACCAAUGUUGGUGGGAAUGGUUCCAUAGAAGGAGUUGUUAGAAAGAUUAAGAGUGAGAAGAUUAGGGAGUGAAAAGAAAUCAAAAUUGUGGAGCGUACCUCUUAGACCACAAUUCUCAAGGUUUAAACUGGAGACACUUCCUGACUUGUGGCAAGUAACUCCAAACCAAUGAUUGCAUGGGGAAACUCCAGACCAAGAAGAAAGGAAAGAUUGUGAUUGAGUAUGAAGGCUAGAUUUCCAUGUUAUAAGAGUGAGUGCUUCUUUUCCUUGCUCGAUAAUCAAAGAAGAAGUGGUAGGAGUAAAAGUAAACGUAGAAGAGACAUGAAAUGAUGACGACGAUGAAUAAAAAGGGAAAUGAAGAAUUAUAUAGAAGCAAAGAAUGGUGAUGAGUUGGGAGAGUGAGGAAUAGGAUGAAAGAUAUUGAAGGGCCAUUAUUGGAUGGGUGGAAAUGAAGGAUAUUCAUUACUUAUUUAUACACUCAAACUCAAAUCUACAUGCAUCUAAUAUUUUUGUUAACUACAUAGUCAUUUCCUAUAACAAAGUUUUCAAAUAUAUUAAUCAGCAUUAGACAUAAAGCUAGUUAGUUUUGACGCUCUACUUGCAAUAUUUCCAUUAGCAUGAUUCACUUACCAAUACUCUACUUGCAUUCUACGAAUAUGGACAUCAGAAUAGGCCACAUGGCUUGUAAUUGAAACAUUGAAGUUUUUAAUAGCUUUUCCCUUUUUAUCUUCAUUUUUCUUUAAUUUUACAUGAAUAAAUUGAAAAAACUUUUAAAAUUGUAGAUUAACAAUAGACAACCAUAAAUAAAAGAAUCUGAGUAUGCAUGGAAUUGUAUCUCAUCAAUUCUUUGUUAAUUAAGAAUUGGCUUAUGUAUAAAAUAAAAUUUUUGUUUCUAUUUUUUCUUUUUAAAAAAUAUAAUUUUUAACAUUUCUUUUACAAAUAUGGUUUUUUAUUUUAUUUUUAAAUAUUUAUAGAUUUUAAAAUUUAAUAAAAUUAUUUUUGAAAUACAAAAUAUAGAAAAAAAAAUUCUUAUUCAUGGACUUGAAAAAUAAAAAAUGGAAAUAUACACAACGUGGUUAUACUUAUAUUUUUCAUCAUACAAAAGAAUGCCUUAACUCAAUAAGUUUUUGUUUUCAAAUUUUUUUUAUGUUGUCUUUAUUAAUCUUGAAUUUUUUUUUAUAUAUGUUCCAAUAAUAGUGUAAACUGAAUUAUUUAUCAACUUAAAAUAAUUUAUUUAUGUUUUUUAUUAUUAUUCGAAACAAUUUCUUCAUUGUCAAUUAAAAUAUAUCUUAGCUGUGAAUUAAAAUGUAUAUAUACAAUUAUAUAUCAAUAUAAAAAAUAUCUUUCUAAUCAACUGCAUGCCCUUUUGAUAAAGACUUUUGUGGCCUUGAAUGGAGUCAAAAAGUGGCUGGAUUGCUAAUUCCUAUCAACAAUUAUGAUUCAAACAUUUGGAAUAGAUAUUAUAUCAAAAUGGUCCUUUCAAUGACCAUGUUUGAUGUAAUGGUCCAACAAUAUAUGGGCCCCAUUUAUUAAAUUUUAGUACUAAAUAUCUUAGACUCAUUUUUAUUUUUUUGUCACAGGUGUUUGUUUUUUAAUUCUUCGCCUUUUCUAGACAAAUUGUUUGAGUGAAAAGUGAAAAAAAAAAAAUCUUCUAUUUUGGAUCAAUUAAAAGGGUUACUUUCUCAAACUUAAAACUUUUUGAAAUAUAUUUGAAAGCUUGGAGAUCAAAUCAUAAAUAAAAUCUUUUACCUAUUUAAGUAAUUUUGUUGUUUUUAACACUUUUACCAUUAUAAGAAAUUGAUAUUUUUAAAUGUUUAGAAACAUCUAAUAAAAUAAUUGUAUUUUUCCUUUAUUUGGGGUUAAGUUCUCUCAAAUUAUAUCCCAUUUUAAUUUUGUAGAAUAAAAAAAAAUACAAAAUACGUUUUAAGGACAAUAAUGUUCUACUAAUUUCUAAAAUUUCUAUUAUUGUAAAAUAUUUUCAAAUAUGUUAAUUACUAUUUUUCAUUGAACUAUUAUUCUUCAAAUAUUCUAUCAUAACUAUAUAUAAAAUAAAAAUAAAUAUAGUAAUUAUAUUUGUACUGACAAAGUCGUUUAAUUACUAUUUAGUAGACCCAAGAGCAAUACCUAUGACCUUUUACACUAGAUAUUAUGAAAAAAGACAUGUUCAAAAUGUAAAUUUUAUUUUUUUUGUUUUUAAAUAAUACUACAUUAUUUUAAUUUAUUUUUAAUUCAACAAAAGAAAACUCAGUCCAUGGUCUCCAUCCAAUGGUAACAAAUUUUCUCUAGUUGAUUUAACAAUUAAAGAGUUGGCUUUUGCCCCCAAAUGCACAAAAAUAUAAGAAAUAAAAACAAUAAAAAUUCAAUGAUGAAAUAAACCAUUCAAUUCAAGAAAUAUAUGUUUUGUUAUGGCUCAUUAAUUUUAAAUUUAAACUUAGAAUUUUUUUUUCCAUUUUUAUCAUGGUGAUUAAUUUUUGUUUUUUGAUAACUUAAACUAGUAUGAAAAGAAGAUAAUUUUUUUUAAUAGCAAACAAUUGUCAUUAUUUCUUUGAUGGUAUAGCUACUAACACAUCACUUCUUCAUAAAAGCCCCUUUUAGUGAAACUGCUAUUGAUAAAAGCUCUACAAAUUAAAAAGUACUUGUAUCAGACACACUUUCAAACCGUACUCUUAUUUUUUAUCUUCUUAAGUUUCUAAUGAGAUAGAAAACUUCAUUUAAUUUAUAUUUGAAAAUUUUAUUAAAGGGUAGAAAAUUCCUAAAAUUAUGUGUCUACAAAUUAAUUGGAUGGAAAUAUGGAGCUUCCGUCUUUAUCAUAAGAAUGACUUGUUUUUGUGGAAUAUAUGGUUCUAAAAUAAAUUCAAGUAUCUUUCUCUUUUCCUAUAAGACAAAGCUCAUUCAAGUGUCUCUUUGUCAUGCAUAAUGGGGUAUAGAAAUGCAUGUAAGUAAGCCCUUUUAUAUGGCAAUGUGUUCCAUGACUAAAGGCGUCUAUUUUUAAGUUUUAUUAAAGGGUAGAAAAUUCCUCAAAUUAUGUGUCUAUGAAUUAAUCGGAUGGAAUAUGGAACUUCCGUCCUUAUCAUAAGAAUGACUUACUUUUGUGGAAUAUAUAGUUAUAGAAUAAAUUCAAGUAUCUUUCUCUUUUCUUAUAAGACAAACCUCAUUCAGCUAUCUAUUUGCCAUGUAUAAUGGGGUAUAGAAAUGCAAGUGGGUCUUUUUACUUGGAAAUAUGUUCCAUGACUAAUGGGGUAUAGAAAUGCAUGUCAGUGGGCCUUUUUACUUGAAAACAUGUUCCAUGACUAGCACCAUGUAUUUUAAAUUAAAUUCAAGGAAAGAGAGCACUCAACCUCCUAUGGACUCUUUGGAGUUAAAAGAAAUAAAAUAAUUAAAAAUAAAAAAAUUAAGUCAUUGAUAUGAACAUAAAAAAUAUAUUGAAUUUUGUACAAAAUUGUAAUAUGACUAAUUAAGUUAAAUAUUGCAAAGUAAAAUAGACUAUCAACCCUCUUGAAUCUCUAAAUUAAUUUAUUUUAUACUAUAAUUAGUAAAAUUAUAUUUUAAUUGAUUAAUCACAGUUGUUCAAUAUUAAUUUAUACCAACAUGUUAUAAAUUGUUUUGUCUAUUAGUAAGGUAGCACGCAUUUGAGUAAUAACAUGGUUGCAUAUAGAAGUAGUUAGCUCAUAUAUAAAAAUAAGAACCCAAUUUGAGAAAACUUAUGUGGUCGUGUCAAUAUGCCAUAAGUGACUUUUCCUUUUUUUAUUUUUAGUGUUUCAUAAAUAAAAAAAAGGUAAUUUAGUUUCAAUUUAUCAUAAUUUGGUUAAAUUAUAUCUUAAUUUAUUAUUAUUAUUAUCCUUGUUAUUGUUGUUAUAUGACACUUUUCAAUGAUAUGCACUUUAAUUAAGAUGUUCACUAUUUUCAAUGGGGGUAGAAAAGUCAAUGCAAAGAUAAAUUCUUACGAAUAAUUAUUAAGGAAUCUAUAUCAAUUAUUCGCAUCAUCAAUCAUUCACAUCAUCAAUCAAUCACUACAUCGUAUUCAAUAGGGUAGAAAAGUCAAUACAUAGAUAAAUUCUUAUGAAUAAUUAUUAUCAAGGAAUCUAUAUCAAGUAUUCAUAUCAUCAAUUAAUCACUUUACCGUAUUGAAUGGGGUAGAAAAGUCAAUACAUAAAUAAAUUCUUAUGAAUAAUUAUUAUCAAGGAAUCUAUAUCAAGUAUUCACAUCAUCAAUCAAUCACUUUACCGUAUUGAAUGGGGUAAAAAAGUCAUGCAUAAUAAAUUCUUAUGAAUAAUUAUUAUUAAAUAAUCUAUAUCAAGUAUUCACAUCAUCAGUCAAUCACUUUACCGUAUUCAAUGAGGGUAGAAAAGUCAUGAAUAAAUUCUUAUGAAUAACUAUUAUCAAGGAAUCUACAUCAAGUAUUCACAUCAUCAGUCAAUCACUUUACCUUAUUGAAUAGGGGUAGAAAAGUCAUAAAUAAAUUCUUAUGAAUAAUUAUUAUCAAGGAAUCUACAUCAAGUAUUCACAUCAUCAGUCAAUCACUUUACCGUAUUGAAUGGGGGUAGAAUAGUCAUGCAUAGAUAAAUUCUUAUGAAUAAUUAUUAUCAAGAAAUUUAUAUCAAUUAUUCACAUCAUCAGUCACUUUACCGUAUUCAAUAGGGGUAGAAAAGCUAUACUUAAAUAAAUUCUUAUGAAUAAUUAUUAUCAAUGAAUCUAUAUCAAGUAAUCACAUGAAAAAACAAAAACAAAAACAAAACAAUAUCUACUUAUUGAGAAUUGUAAAUAUAGCUUCAUAAUGGUUUUUUUUUUCCUUGCAAUUUUAUUUUCGAAAGAUGUUUAGAUGUAAGAUGAAGAUUAAAAAAAAUAAAAUGAUAGAGGGUAUUUUUGUUUUUAAAAAAAAUCAUAUUUCAUAUUUUUGAUAUGGAUGUUAAUAAAAAAUUUGUUUCCUAUCUUAAAGACAUAAUGGCUCAAAUACAAUAUAUCUAUGCAUCUUUGAUCAAUUAUGUCUAAUCAUAUUUAGAUUAAGAAUUAGCAAUUUUAUUCCAUCCAUCCUAAUAUAUGACUACUUACUUUUAUGUAAUCUACACUCCUCUUAAAGAUUCAAAGUUGUUCCAUAAUCAGUUUAGGAUUAAAAAGGCAAGUAUGGACUUAUGGAAAUUAGAAAUAAAUUAAUUUGAAAAAAAAAAAUAUAAAUUAAAAACUUAAAGAGGGAAAUCUUUUCAAAUACUUAAAUUAAUUUAGAAAAAAAAAUUAGAAUUUAAAAAAGAAAAUCUUUCCAAAUCUUUUUUAAUUUAAAAAUGAAAAUCUUUUCAAAGGAAAUCUUUGUGAAUUAAAAAUUAAAUUUAGAGUUGUAAAUAAGGUCCACAUCCCUCCGUGCUUUGAGUUAUCCACUGGGAAUAUGUAUGAUAUCGCAUAACAGAUUUGAAAAUUAGUAUAGGUUAAAGUCUUAGUGAUGGCUUUUGUGAGAUAAUUUUGUGUUUUUUCCUUCCAUGUAAUGGAUUUGAGAUCUACGGUCUCUAGGCCCUGCAGUUUCUACAUCCACACUUUAGGUGGUUUUCCACGUAUAUCAUUUGCCCUUGUGUGGGAUUGACUUUCCAUUUUAAUUGAUAAAUUUCUCAAGAUAAAUUUAAAAAUAAAAAUUAGGUUAAAUUAAAGAAGGGAAAUAAAAAAUAUAUAUAUUUAAAGUUAAUAAAUUAUUUUUAUAUUUUUUACUUUAAAUUUAUUGCAUUUAUUUUAACUCUUCAAUAUAAAAAUUAAAUAAUUUCAUUGGGUCUUGGGCUCAAUUUGAAGAGUUACAUGGACCUUUUAUUAAUUUGGGGGCUCAUCUACCCCCAAAACAUAAUUCUCCCAAAUUUUAAUUAUAUUUGAUUUUAUUUAAUAUUUUGCAUAGGUGAGAAAAUUAUUUUCCUUAAGAACCAAACAUAAUCUAAAAAGUACAAAAUACUCAUUUUUUGAAAAAAAAAAUACCAUUCAUUAAUAUUUAUUUAAAAAAUGAGAAUUUAUAUUUAUAAUUUAUAAUAAAUGAAAGGGAGAAUUAUGCUUCAAGGCCCAUGGGAUUGAAAACUGCAAAACAAAGGUUAAACUUUGUAUAAUUAAUGUGAAAAGUUAGAAGAACUUGUAAAUUUGUUAUGAACGAUAUUUAGAAAGUUUAUGACCCAUAAACGCCUAAAAUCCCCUUAAAGAGCCUUUUUGAAAAGAAAAAUCCUCUCCUUUUUUUAGGUUAGCACGCCAUCUAGCCACACGUGGCAAACUCUAUUUACAUUGGUUCUGAUCUUGGGGCCAUAUAUCUAACAAAUUAGAAAACAUAAAAAUAAGUUAUAAUAAAAUGGAAACUGAACUCUAAGUUUGAAUAAAUCAACCUAUUAAUAAAAUAAUAAGAUCAUUUAUAAAAUAUUGUAUAUAAAGUGUUUUAUGUAUUUAAAAAAUACCUCUAAUCAAUAUACCAAAUAUAAAAAAUACCCUUCAUUAAUAUUAAAUAUUUCUUUGUCUUGUACCAUUUAUACAGUUAGUAUAUUUAUUUUAUAUAGUAUAACACCUUUGUACGGUAGCUCGAAUUCCACACACCUUGUGAAUGUCUCAUAGAUUGGUUAACCAUGUUUACAUCGGUUUGGCUUUAAAAAAUGGGAAAAGUUAUUGUAUAAUUUUGUUUCACACUCAUUAUGAGUGAGAUAGGUAUUUGAAUAGUCAUGUACAAGUUAAGUAAAUAAUAUAAAAAUUUAUAUUGAAUUUAUUAAUAAGUUUAAUGAUUUUAAAAAAUAAUUUUAAAUUCAAAAAAUAUAUACAAUGACUAUAAAAAUAAUAGACAUAAUUAAUGUUUUAAAUUCUUUAAUAAAUUUUCUAAUAUUUUAAGACUAAUUUAAAAUUCAAAAAACUAAUUAAUUGAUUAUAAAUUAAAUAAAAAAAUUUAAAUACCAUAUCUUUAAUUAAGUAAUAAAUGUAUGAAAAAUGGCUUAUUUAUAUCUUAAAAAAUUAAACAUUAUUUGUUUUCAAAUUCAUUUAAAAAAGUAUAGUAUUAGCAAUCAUUAAUUUUGAAUUAUUAUUCUUAUUUUUAAUAAAAUAAAAUAAUUAUUUUUUUAAUAAAAAUGUUAAUAUUCAUAUUUUUAUAAUAUUUAUAAAAUCGUAUAGUGUUCUAUUAGAGAUUAUUAAUUUUGAAUUAUUAUCAUUAUUUAUUUUUAACAAAAUAAAUCAAUUAUGCUUUUAUAAGAUGUUGAUAUCCAUAUUUUUAUAAUAUUUAAAAAUAUAUAAUUUAUGAUUUUAUUAUAUUAUUAAUAUUCAUAUUUUAUUAAAAAAUAUUUAUUUUUAAUUAAAAAAUUGUUUUUAUUUUCAAUAAGAUGUGAAUUAAAUUUAGUUUAUAUUAUAUAAAUUGAAUUCAUUUUUUUUUUUCAAAAUCAAAAUAAAAAAUUAAUUUUAAAAACAACUAAAGAAUGUUUUCGAACAUAACUUGUACUAGAAAAUCAAAAUACCUCCUAAAACCCACUUAUAAGUGGGAUUGUAUUUUUAAAGGAAUCAUUUUUUCUUUCAUUUUAUCAUCAAUUAAAUUAUUUAAAUAUGAGGAUGAAGGAAAAAAGGAAUAAGAUAUCCAUCUUUUUAUUCAAGCUUUUGAUGGGCCUUUUGGAUUGGAUCAGAGAUUAUUUGAGGUCAAGUCUAUUCUCUCAAAUCCAAGGGCCGAAGCCAUGCCCUACAGGCCUCAAGCUUAGGACUCAAGUUCAAUGUUGGGGCUUGAUAUUCGAACUCUGGCUUCAGGCUUAAAUAUUGUAUAUAUAGAGAUUAAAAACAUUUAAAAAUAAAUAAAUAAGAGAGAUGAUGACAGCUGUCACAUGUAGAGAUUUUAAAAUUUUGAUUUGCAUGUUAGGCUUGCUGACCUGGUUCAGGGCCUUCAAGCUUCGCUCAAAGCUACUUGCAUAAUAACACUUGAUUUAUAAAGCAAACCGUACUUGACUGAAAUAAGAAAACAUAAUACAAAGACAAAGAAAAGUAAAAGCCAAGGCGCACACAAUGCAUGACAACAAAUAUAUAUACAAGGAGAAGUGAAGACCCUCAAGUAGUUUCACCUCCAUGACCAAGCAAUUCGCCCAAAGUAAUCAUGGUGAAUGGUUUUGACAAUGGCGGCCACCGUGUUGAGAGUGCUUGACAAACUUGUCGCAUGGUUGGUCGAGAUUGGGGAUUAGCAUGCAAGUGCUAACUUCACUGCAACCACUACUUCCUCAGCCACUUGAUUCAUAGGAGGUGAGAGACGUUGGUCUAUCUCUUCAUUCAACAGUAAAUGAUAGACAGUUGAUGGUGAUGAGGAUGACGAGGACGCUGAUGAAAAGAGCGAUGAGAUGAGUUCCCCAGGAUGCUUUCCAAAAAUUGCUUCCAAUGUUACCACUCCAAAG